UGACAUCUCAUGGGAAAGGGAGGGUUAGUUACAGCAAAUCCCCUAAUCCUUCUCAUGGAGACACACUUAUGGGAAUAGGAUAAUUGUGUUAACCAUUGUAUCAUAAUGUAGGAGGUAUAAUAGAAUGUAGGAGGUGUAAUAUAAUGUAGGAGGUAUAAUAGAAUGUAGGUGGUAUAAUAGAAUGUCGGAGGUAUAUCAGAAUGUAGAAGGUAUAAUAGAAUGUAGGUGGUAUAAUAGAAUGUAGGAGGUAUAUCAGAAUGUAGGAAGUAUAAUAUAAUGUAGGAGGUAUAUCAAAAUGUAGGAGGUAUAAUAGAAUGUAGGUGGUAUAAUAUAUUGUAGGAGGUAUAUCAGAAUGUAGGAGGUAUAAUAGAAUGUAGGAGGUAUAAUAGAAUGUAGGUGGUAUAAUAUAUUGUAGGAGGUAUAUCAGAAUGUAGGAGGCAUAUCAGAAUGUAGGAGGUAUAUCAGAAUGUAGAAUGUAUAAUAGAAUGUAGAAAGUAUAAUAGAAUGUAGUAGGUAGUGUAAAGGGUCCUAUGUGUGGCUGGUGUAGAGAGUCAGGCGCAGGACAGCAGAUAUGAGUAAUCAACGUACUUUUACUUAUAAUGUCAAAUAUACAAAGUAACAAAUACACGCACACCAUGACAGACCGAAAAUACAAUAAACAAUCACUCACAAAAACCCAUGGGGGAACAGAGGGUUAAAUAAUGAAACAGUAAUUGUGGGAUUGAAAUCAGGUGUGUAAAACAAAGACAAAACAAAUGGAAAAUGAAAAGUGGAUCGGCGGUGGCUAGAAAGCCGGUGAUUUCGACCGCCAACCGCCGUCCGAACAACGAGAGGGACCGACUUGUGCAUUCAGAAAGUAUUCAGAACCUUUCCCUUUUCCACAUUUUGUUACGUUACUGUCACAAGUAUCUUCGUCUUCUGACGAUAAUGCGAAAUCGUCAUCAGAAAAGGUAGAUCAAUACGCAGCAGGUGUGCAGUUGUUCAUUUUGAACAUUUAAUUAAAUCAACACGAAUACAAAAACAACAAACAAGAAAACGAACGAUAAACUGACAGUCUGCAAAGCAUAGGCUCAACACAGA
rnacentral:lncRNA from 1 species